rnacentral:rRNA from 1 species
CCUACGGGAGGCAGCAGUGAGGAAUAUUGGUCAAUGGACGAGAGUCUGAACCAGCCAAGUAGCGUGAAGGAUGACUGCCCUAUGGGUUGUAAACUUCUUUUAUAAAGGAAUAAAACGAGGCACGUGUGCCUUUUUGCAUGUACUUUAUGAAUAAGGAUCGGCUAACUCCGGGCCAGCAGCCGCGGUAAUACGGAGGAUCCGAGCGUUAUCCGGAUUUAUUGGGGUUAAAGGGAGCGUAGAUGGGUUGUUAAGUCAGUUGUGAAAGUUUGCGGCUCAACCGUAAAAUUGCAAUUGAUACUGGCAGUCGUGAGUACAGUUGAGGUAGGCGGAAUUCGUGGUGUAGCGGUGAAAUGCUUAGAUAUCACGAAGAACCCCGAUUGCGAAGGCAGCUUACUAAACUGUGACUGACAUUGAUGCUCGAAAGUGUGGGUAUCAAACAGGAUUAGAUACCCUAGUAGUC